CCAGAAAAAGAAAGCAGAGGCAAGAGGAGCCAGAUUCUGAUUCAGAAUCUGAAUCUGAACCAAGUGAUGAGAGUGAAGAAUCAUCACCUGCGGAGAAGGAGAAGAAAAAGAAAAAAACAAAAACAACACCAAAAGAAACACAACAAGAAAAGAAAAAAGUUGUUGUGGAGGAUUCACCUCCUGAAGAAGAUCAAUACUUUGACGGUGAGAGAUAUGAAAUAUCAAGUGACGAAAUCGAUGAAUGGCUAAGGA